CAAGCUGCUGCACCCCAAUUCAAAAGCGAUCUCCACGAGUUCACAAAACAAAUAUAUCUCCAAAAUAGUCAAUAUACUCGUACACACAACAACACAUGCCAACCAAUGGCUCAUACCACACACCACAUAAUCUCCAGUAACAAAACUCGUGGAACGAUUGCUUGAAGUGGGCUGGUGGCAGAAACGUCACAUAUCCACUCCUGGAUAGCCUCGAAAUCAUGACCGAAGAAACUGAUAACUCCCGAGAAAACUGACGAACUUGGACUUCACGCAACUGCUGAACAUCUG
rnacentral:lncRNA from 1 species